CAGCCGCCGCGGGAAUACGGAGGGUGCAAGCGUUAAUCGGAAUUACUGGGCGUAAAGCGCACGCAGGCGGUCUGUCAAGUCAGAUGUGAAAUCCCCGGGCUUAACCUGGGAACUGCAUUUGAAACUGGCAAGCUAGAGUCUUGUAGAGGGGGGUAGAAUUCCAGGUGUAGCGGUGAAAUGCGUAGAGAUCUGGAGGAAUACCGGUGGCGAAGGCGGCCCCCUGGACAAAGACUGACGCUCAGGUGCGAAAGCGUGGGGAGCAAACAGGAUUAGAUACCCGAGUAGUCCCUGUCUCUUAUAC
rnacentral:rRNA from 1 species